AUAAGUCUGAGUGUCUAGGGUUAUGAGAUCAAAUUGUGUUUCUUUGUCACUGGAAAUCCCCACUUCAAACCUUAAGAACGAGCCAUUCAAAAGCUUGCAGUGAGGCAACACACUUAACAGGAAAGCAUGACUUCAUUUUGGCAUGAUUCGUCUUCAAAAUCAGAGGAAGUUCACAGAAGUAGCUGACUGGCUAAGCCUCUAACAGCCAGUAGGUGGUGCAGCCUGAAGAACUCAGCUGGUGGAGCCCCUGAAUCCUUCUUACCACUUUAUUCUGCCACGUCUCACUUUACCAGUGGGAAUCCACACAGCAAAUGACCCUUAACUUUGUUCUGUAAAAAUUCCAUAGUAGAAGUGCCAAAACCACUGACGUCAGAACAACAACUCGACUGUUCUCCAGUCUUCCUCUGGGACCUGGGACACAGGAAUAAAUCAUUAGUUGCUCUAGAGUAUGCAGAGUUGGAAUCAGAAGUUGCCUUAUUCUGUCUUCAAGACAGGCACCCCACCACUAAGGUGACAGGAAGUAUUCCAAGUAAGUUCUGAUUUAACCUCUAACAUAAAAACACAGGUGUUGACAUUAUAAAUAACCUCUAAUUAGAGAAAACAUAAAAAAAAAUUUGUUUUGUUUUGUUUUUUAA
rnacentral:lncRNA from 1 species